rnacentral:lncRNA from 1 species
ACAAGUUAUAUGUAAUUAACUAUUAUUUUCAACCAUGAAUAAAAGUGUACAUUGAAAUAGAAGGUGAAUGCUAUUUUCAAUGCUUCUCCUCAUAAUAAAUGCUCAGCAUCCUGAAUCCCCAAGUCCAAGGUUGAAAACUUUUUUAGCACUGCAUGAUGCCACAGAUCCAGAAUUCCAGGUCAUGAAACUUUGACUCACAUAAAAUUGGUAAAAUAAGUAAUAUCUUAUGCAUAUUAUAAGAUUACUUUCAGGGGCAUAGAAAUCACUGGAUUCUGUGUUUAGUCUUAGAGUGCAUCCCUAAUUUCACUAUGCAAAUAUAAAUAUUUCAAAAUUCAAGACCUGUGCUCCCGGGCAUCUCAAAGAGCAAUGCUUCCCCUAUCCUAUGUGUUUGUAAAAGAAACUUGGACAAGUGUGCAUCCUGAGUGUUCCUGCAUUCUUCAGAUUGCAAGAGUUUACACUUCUGUUUCACGAGCAAGGAAAAUCACUGGCUAUUGUGACUGGAAGAAAACAGUCCACUUUCCAAGAAGUCCCAGAAGACUUGAAGGACUACAAACCAACUCAACCAAUUUGCCACUGGUUGUGGCUAAGCUGGCUUCUCAUCCAAUGAUCUAUUCAGUUCUUACCUCUGUCAUUCACCCUAGGCUACCACUUCCAAAGCAGAAACCAGGCUAUAAUUUUGUUCUCCACGGGGAAAAAAAAGCCUUAUAACUAAUUAAUUAGACCAUGGUUUGAUGAUGACAGUGUAACAUGCUAAAUACAGCCCAGGAAAGAAAUGUCUAAAAGUUGGCACCAGGACCUAGUGCACUGAAUCAUACUGAGUUCAUUCUUAUGGUAAGUGAUUUCUUCCUUCCCCCUUGUCUGUCACCAUGUUACUCCCAGGAUAACUACUUUCCUAACUUCUUCACUGUCUCUGAGUCAAGUCACACAAACUACCCUCCACCCAGCCUACUCGGGGAGCAAUAACCCCUUAUCACCAGCAUGAUUUCCCAGAUGUAAAAGAGUGUUAAAUAUCUGACCUGAGUCACCCAGGCUGGGAUUCCAUCUCCAGGGACAGGGAGUGGAUUACCUUUGUAGUGACUGCCACUCUUCACCUGAGCUCAUCACCAUCAGACAAAAGGAAAGGGAGGGGCACAUUGCAUGGGAAAUGUAUGCAUUAAGUUCAUAGUAUUAAUGUGGUUCUGUAACUUUAUUAAAACUGAGAAAAUUGUUUUAGUGACACUAUGGUAUGGAUCUUAAAUGUCCUCUAAAGUCAGUAGAUUAAAGGCUCGGUCUGCAGCUGGUACGCCAUAGGAAGAUGGUAGCUGCUAGGAGAUGGAGCCUAAUGUGUGUGGAGGCAGAAUGGCAGAGUGGGGAUGGUGUGUCAGGUUUUAGGUCACUGUAAUUGUUCCCUAGGUAAACAUAAUAUGGCUCUAACCCUUCUUUCUUUCCUUUUGUUUAACUACAAGCUACUGGCUUUUUGCCUCACCGCCUGCUCUCUAUCAUGACAGUUUGUUUGCUUUACUACACUAACACAAAAGUAAUGAGGCAUCUUGAGUUCCACAACUGUGAGCCAAAGUGACCUUUCUCUCUUUGCCUGCUGAUUUGUUUCUGGUGAUUGUUACAAUAGCAGAAGAAACAUGACAAUAUAAAAAUCCUGAAUAUUUUGUCCCUAUCUACACUAAUCAAAGACUAAAGUACAGUAGUGUAAUCUAAAAGCACUGGUCUACUUCAAGACAAAAAUAAAGACCAAUUGAUCAUGUUGAACAUUGUAUGGCUUUUGGCAGUGGAAGGGAUGGUGUGACAUGGUUUCCACCCCUGGAGCUGAGCUAGCAGGACAUGGGUCUCUUCCUGUGCUGAUGGCUGCUGUCAGCAUAAAGCUUGUGUGCAUAAUAAUGUAUAUAUUUUACUUCAUAUUCCUUUUUGUGGAAUGUUCUUCCUGCCAUGGAUAAUGACUCCAUGAUAGUCAGAAAUAACAUUAUUCCAGGAAUCAAGAAUGUGUCUGGCAAUCCUCAACCAUCUGAUAAUGCUGUAACCUUCAGGGCAGCCCAUAAGGCUGUGGGAAAGAACUCUGAGAAGAUGAGUUCAAAGAGAAUGGAAUAGUUAAAAAACAAGGCUAAGAUAGAUUGUUACAUAAUAUUAAUGGUGAAAUUAUAACAUAAUAUUAGUAGUCUUCUCCACAGAAGCCAUUAACUAAAUUUGAUCCAGAUAUUCUACUCCCUAAAGGAGGGAGUUAUAUGUGUUAUCCAAAUAGAGGUGGGGACAGACAAAAGUCAGAAAAAAAAGAUGAUGGCUUCAUGAUAUUUCUACUUUCUGGGAUUGCUUAAUACUUAUUAAUAAUAAGCCUCAGAGUCAGUGAG